rnacentral:rRNA from 1 species
GACGAACGCUGGCGGCGUGCCUAAUACAUGCAAGUUGAGCGCUGAAGGUUGGUACUUUUACCUACUGGAUGAGCAGCUAACGGGUGAGUAACGCGUGGGUAAUCUGCCUUUGAGCGGGGGACAACAUUUGGAAACGAAUGCUAAUACCGCAUAAAAACUUUAAACACAAGUUUUAAGUUUGAAAGAUGCAAUUGCAUCACUCAAAUAUGAUCGUGAGUUGUAUUAGCUAGUGGGUGGGGUAAAGGCCCACCCAGGCGGUGAUACACAGCCGACCUGAGAGGGUGAUCGGCCCAAUUGGGACGGAGACACGGGCCAAACUACUACGGGAGGCAGCAGUAGGGAAUCUUCGGACAGGGAGGACAGGCUGGACGCGCAACGCCGCGUGAGUGAAGAAGGUUUUCGGGUCGGAAAACUCGGUUGGUAGGGAAGAACGUGGGUGAGAGUGGAAAGCUCAUCAAGUGACGGUAACUAACCAGAAAGGGCCGGCUAACUACGUG